UACAGAGGCCUCGAGCGUUAGGCGGAAUCACUGGGCUUAAAGCGUGUGUAGGCGGAGUUCUAAGUACCUUGUGAAAUCCCACGGCUCAACCGUGGAACUGCUGGGUAUACUGGUUCUCUUGAGGUACCUAGGGGCGAGCGGAACAAGUGGUGGAGCGGUGAAAUGCGUAGAUAUCACUUGGAACGCCAACGGUGAAAACAGCUCGCUGGGGGUAUCCUGACGCUGAGACACGAAAGCCAGGGGAGCAAACGGG
rnacentral:rRNA from 1 species